UACGUAGGGGGCAAGCGUUGUCCGGAUUUAUUGGGCGUAAAGAGCGUGUAGGCGGCUAGGUAGGUCCGUUGUGAAAACUCGAGGCUCAACCUCGAGACGUCGAUGGAAACCAUCUAGCUAGAGUCCGGAAGAGGAGAGUGGAAUUCCUGGUGUAGCGGUGAAAUGCGCAGAUAUCAGGAAGAACACCAGUGGCGAAGGCGACUUACUGGACGAUUGUUGACGCUGAGGUGCGAAAGCGUGGGGAGCAAACAGG
rnacentral:rRNA from 1 species